rnacentral:tRNA from 1 species
GUUCUUAUAGUUGAAUACAACAAUGGCUUUUCGAGCCGUCAGUCCUGGUUAAAGUCCUGGUAAGAAUU